GCCAGGUGUGAUGGCUCACACCUGUAAUCCCAGCACUCUGGGAGGCUGAGGCGGGAGGAUCACCUGAGGUCAGGAGUUUGAGACCAGCCUGGCCAACAUGGUGAAACUCUGUCUCUA
rnacentral:SRP_RNA from 1 species